GAUGAACGCUGACAGAAUGCUUAACACAUGCAAGUCAACUGUGGCGGACGGGUGAGUAACGCGUAAAGAACUUGCCUCACAGUUAGGGACAACCUUUGGAAACGACUGCUAAUACCUGAUACUGUGAGAGCGCUUUGCGUCCCAUUAGCUAGUGGGAGAGGUAACGGCUCACCAAGGCGAUGAUGGGUAGCCGGCCUGAGAGGGUGUUCGGCCACAAGGGGACUGAGACGCGGCCCUUACGCAUACGGGAGGCAGCAGUGGGGAAUAUUGGACAAUGGACCAAAGUAUGAUGCAGCAAUUCUGUGUGCACGAUGAAGUUUUCGGAAUGUAAAGUGCUUUCAGUUGGGAAGCGGUACCAACAGAAGAAGUGACGGCUAAAUACGUGCCAGCAGCCGCGGUAAUAC
rnacentral:rRNA from 1 species